rnacentral:rRNA from 1 species
GAUGAACGCUGGCGGCGUGCCUAAUACAUGCAAGUCGAGCGAACAGACGAGAAGCUUGCUUCUCUGAUGUUAGCGGCGGACGGGUGAGUAACACGUGGAUAACCUACCUAUAAGACUGGGAUAACUUCGGGAAACCGGAGCUAAUACCGGAUGAUAUAUUGAACCGCAUGGUUCAAAAGUGAAAGACGGUGUUGCUGUCACUUAUAGAUGGAUCCGCGCUGCAUUAGCUAGUUGGUAAGGUAACGGCUUACCAAGGCAACGAUGCAUAGCCGACCUGAGAGGGUGAUCGGCCACACUGGAACUGAGACACGGUCCAGACUCCUACGGGAGGCAGCAGUAGGGAAUCUUCCGCAAUGGGCGAAAGCCUGACGGAGCAACGCCGCGUGAGUGAUGAAGGUCUUCGGAUCGUAAAACUCUGUUAUUAGGGAAGAACAUAUGUGUAAGUAACUGUGCACAUCUUGACGGUACCUAAUCAGAAAGCCACGGCUAACUACGUG